rnacentral:rRNA from 1 species
UACGAAGGACCCGAGCGUUAUCCGGAUUUAUUGGGUUUAAAGGGUGCGUAGGCGGAUUAGUAAGUCAGUGGUGAAAGCCCGUCGCUUAACGGCGGAACUGCCAUUGAUACUGCUAGUCUUGAGUAUGGUUGAGGUGGGCGGAAUGUGUCAUGUAGCGGUGAAAUGCUUAGAUAUGACCCAGAACACCAAUUGCGAAGGCAGCUCGCUAAGCCAUAACUGACGCUGAUGCACGAAAGCGUGGGGAGCAAACAGG